CGUAGUAAAAAAGAAUUGCAGAGUUGGAUCGAUAUCCCACAUCAUCAUUCGGAAAUGGCUACACGCGGAAUGCUCAGAGCUCUCGCGAAGAGAACUCUCUCUCAGUUCUCCGUUUCAAACUCGAUUUCAAGAUCUAUUAGCACACUGGUUCUAGCUGAACAUGAGGGUGGUUCUGUAAAGGCCCCAUCUGUGAGUGCAGUGGAGGCUGCAAAGUUAUUGGGUGAGGAAAAUUCAAUUACUAUGCUGUUGGCAGGGUCUGGUUCUUCCCUGCAGGAAGCUGCGGAACAUGCUGCCUCAUGCCAUCCUUCGGUUUCUCAGGUGCUUGUAGCUGAUUCAGAUGCAUUUGCGUAUCCUCUGGCAGAGCCUUGGGCUAAAUUAGUCCACUUGGUUCAGCAAAGAGAUGACUACUCACAUGUUGUGGCUGCUUCGAGCUCAUUUGGGAAAAAUAUACUGCCUCGUGCAGCUGCCCUUUUAGAUGUUUCUCCAAUUACUGAUGUUACUGAUAUUUCUGGGUCUCAUCAGUUUGUCAGGCCAAUAUAUGCUGGAAAUGCCCUUUGUACUGUUCGAUACAGUGGCACAACUCCUUGCAUGUUGACCAUUAGAGCCACAUCGUUUCCCGUAACCCCUGACUCUGCUGAUUCCAAAUCUAAUGUGGCUUCUAUUUCCCAGGUGGACCUCUCAACCUUUGACAAAGAUUCUAUUGGUAAAUCUAGAUAUGUAAAGCUCACGUCUGAGGAUACGGAACGCCCUGAUCUUGGCAAUGCACGAAUUGUAGUCACAGGUGGACGAGGUCUUAAAAGUGCUGACAACUUUAAAAUGUUAGAGAAGCUUGCAGAGAAACUUGGUGCAGCAGUUGGUGCAACUCGUGCUGCUGUUGAUGCGAGUUUUGUUCCAAAUGAGCUCCAGGUUGGUCAGACUGGAAAAAUUGUUGCCCCAGAACUAUAUUUGGCCUUCGGUGUUUCAGGAGCAAUUCAGCACAUAGCCGGCAUGAGGGAUUCCAAAAUCAUAGUUGCUGUAAAUAAAGACGCAGAUGCACCUAUAUUCCAGACGAACACAUGAAUUGAACUUGAUGAGUCUUACAUUGGAGAUGAAAGGAGUCCUGAAAUACGCUGCAGAAGGGUGGCUGUUCUUUUGUAAAUCAAUCAUUUGAAAAUAUAAGUUAAUUUACAGGGAAUGAACAGUGAAUGGAUUUCAAUUGUAAGAAACUUCCAUGUAAAGGAAAAACCAGGUGAUUGAUUGGCCUCUUUUACUGCUUGUAGCCGAUUAUGGUCUCGUUGGCGAUCUUUUCGAGGUGAUACCCGAGUUGUUAGAGAAGCUUCCUGAGAAGAAAUAAGCCCGUCUCUUGCUACCAGGAGCAUGCCGUUGUUUGAUCUCUUUGGUUCACUAUGAAUAAUCCCCAAUGAAUCACUAGGAAAAAUGUCAAUACCCAUAUUGAAUGGAAAUACAGGAAUGAUGAAAUGGGUCUUUUAACAGUCUUGAUUUUCUGGGAAUGCUAAGCUUGUCAUUCUUUGACAUGCCUUUCUGAAA